AGCCCCAAGGUGUACAACAUAUGAGAUUGCAAAUCUUAAGAGGCAGACUAACACCUGCUGGGGCUU
rnacentral:tRNA from 1 species